UACGUAGGGGGCAAGCGUUGUCCGGAAUUAUUGGGCGUAAAGAGCGCGUAGGCGGUCCGGUAAGUCGGUUGUGAAAGUCGGGGGCUCAACCCUCGGAUGCCGAUCGAUACUGUCGGGCUAGAGUCCGGAAGAGGCGAGUGGAAUUCCUGGUGUAGCGGUGGAAUGCGCAGAUAUCAGGAGGAACACCAAUAGCGAAGGCAGCUCGCUGGGACGUUACUGACACUGAGGCGCGAAAGCGUGGGGAGCGAACAGG
rnacentral:rRNA from 1 species